rnacentral:rRNA from 1 species
GGGCCAGGUCGGGGGUCUAUACAUGCAGUCGAGCGAAUGAAGAGGAGCUGCAUUGUUGAAAGUCGGUUUCGGCUGUCACUUACAGAUGGACCCGCGGCGCAUUAGCUAGUUGGUGAGGUAACGGCUCACCAAGGCGACGAUGCGUAGCCGACCUGAGAGGGUGAUCGGCCACACUGGGACUGAGACACGGCCCAGACUCCUACGGGAGGCAGCAGUAGGGAAUCUUCCGCAAUGGGCGAAAGUCUGACCGAGCAACGCCGCGUGAGUGAUGAAGGGUUUCGGAUCGUAAAGCUCUGUUGUUAGGGAAGAACAAGUGCGAGAGUAACUGCUUGCACCUUGACGGUACCUAACCAGAAAGCCACGGCUAACUACGUGCCAGCAGCCGCGGUAAUACGUAGGUGGCAAGCGUUGUCCGGAAUUAUUGGGCGUAAAGGGCUCGCAGGCGGUUUCUUAAGUCUGAUGUGAAAGCCCCCGGCUCAACCGGGAGGGUCAUUGGAAACUGGGAAACUUGAGUGCAGAAGAGAAAGUGGAAUUCCACGUGUAGCGGUGAAAUGCGUAGAGAUGUGGAGAACACCAGUGGCGAAGGCGACUUUUGGUCUGUAACUGACGCUGAGGAGCGAAAGCGUGGGGAGCAAACAGGAUUAGAUACCCUGGUAGUCCACGCCGUAAACGAUGAGUGCUAAGUGUUGGGGGGUUUCCCCCCUCAUAGUGAGCUCAAACGUUAUGCACUCCGCGGGGGAGAACGACGGCACGGUGCGAAUCCAGGAGUUGUGGGGGGGCCCCCCCAAAAGUGUAGCACGUGGUGUUUUUUUGAAGAAGCACGGAGAAAAUUUUAGGGUGGUGACCUCCUCAGAACACCUCAAAAAAAAAGGUUUUUCCCUUGGGGGAAAAAAUAACGGGUGGUUGCAUGGUUGUCGUCACGUCCUGUUCAGGAAAUGUGGGUUAAAUUCCCCCAACGAGGGGCAACCCUUGGCUUUAGUUGCCAGCCUUAAUUUUGGGCCAUCAAAAGUGAACGCCGGGGGCAAACCGAAGGAAAGGGGGGGGAAGGAGUCAAAUUAACCUUGCCCGUCUGACCAAGGGUACACCCCUGGUUCCAAGGAUGGGACAAAAGGGUGGGAAGCCGGCAGGGCAAGCCCAUUCCCAAAAACCAUUUUCAGUUCGGGAUGUCGGUUGCAAAUUGCCUACAGGAAGCCGGAAUCGUUGUAAUCGCGGGUCAGCCAGCCGCCGGGAAAACGUUCCCGGGCCCUGUACACCCCCCCCGGCACCCCCCGAGAGUUUGCACCCCCGAAGUUGGGGGAGUUACCCUUAUGAGCCAGCCGCCGAAGUGGAAC